GCUGGUGGCUGUUAUUGAACCCAAUGCUCAUUUACCAUUAAGAACAUCCUAGGCUAAGCAGGGUUAGGCCUGGUUAGUAGUUGGAUGGGAGACCACCUCGGAAUACCAGAUACUGUAGGCA
ensembl:rRNA 5S_rRNA 5S ribosomal RNA